AUGCCCAGCGCUAAAACAAGCCUGUGCUUGGGUAAAUACCCUUUCUCUCUGUUGUUCUGUGAAAAGCCCUUCCCCACACGCUCUAGGAGUGAGUUUCUUGAUCUGAACAAGUGUUGGGUUCUGUUCCUGCUCUCUUCUCUGUCUGCUGUGAUUCGUAGGUUUCUCUGUGAAGGCUUCUUGUGGACCAAACUUUUGCUCACCCGAUUAUUUAUUUAUGAAACCAUUGGCUCCCAGGUAGCUCUCAAAUCCAUCUCAGUCUCUCUACUGCUGCCACCCAUUGUCAGCGGCCUGACUCACUGGUUCUCAAACUCAGCUGCACAGGGCAGUUAUCUGGGAAUUUUAUAACUCUUAUGCCUGAGACACCCCAGUUACACCCGCUGGGGGAUUCUGCUCUUCUUAGUGUGGCACAGCCGGGGUAUCUGGAUUUUUAACAACUUCACUUUAGUCAAAGUUAGAAACAUGAACUGACCCAGCACAGUUGCUCCUGACCUCUCUUUGCCCCUCACUGGCCCCCUUUCUUUUCCAGAGAGUGCUAUUUUCAAAAUGAUAUUUUAUUUUAUUUAUUUAUUUAUUUAUUUUGGUUUUUCUCCGGUACUGGGAACUGAACUCACGACCUUGCGCUUGCCAGGCAGGCGCUUUUGCCGCUGAGCUAAAUCCCCAGCCCCUCAAAAUGACAUUUUAAUCACUGCCGCCACUCUCCUUAAAUCUUUUCAACAGCAUCCCAUUAGUCUCAGGCUAGAGCCAAAUGCCUAUGGCCUUAUUCUGGUCUUGCUAUCUCUCAGCCACGUCCUGUUCCAUGAGCCCUUUGGCAUAUGUGUGAGUGUUUGUGUGCGCCUAGGGUUGAGCCUAGGGCUCAAUGCAUGCUUAACACUCUACUGCUGAGCUACAACUUUGGUUUGCUUGCUUUUUUACUUCUUCAGACAUGUCAUUCUCCUUCCCACCACAGGCCUUUGCACAGAGCGUACUCAGUGAAACUGUUUCCCUAACUCCUUGUCUAGUUAACUUUUAGCUCCUCCUUCAGGUCUCAGCUCAUUUGCUCAGACAGACCUUCUCCAAUCUAUUAUCCUCUUGUAGAACCACAUAAACUCCACUUCCUAGCAUUUAGAGCAAGUGCAAUUUUAUGGUUACUUCUGUAAUGUUCUACUGAAUCUCAUUUGUAGAAACUUUGUGUCCGUGUUUGCUUCACAUGGUAUGGUCGAAAGCUAGCAUAUUGACUGACAUUUAAAUAGGCUCUCAAAUUGUUUACUGGAAGAAUAAAUAUAAAGGAAUGAAAAGGUGCCCCAAAUCAAAUAGCCGAGUCCAACUGAUGUCAUCUCCACAAUAUUUCUAGAAUCCAUUUAUUGCUUUUCAUCUUUUUUGCUGGUCCAAGUCCUCAUCAUCUUUGGUCUAAACUAUGAAACAGCUUCCUCAGUGAUUGACAUUCUUCUACCCUUGUCCCUCUUCAAACUGUCUUAGCUAGAGUGAUCUCAGGGCAUAAGCCUGGGUCCAACAGACCCAUCCUUUACUUUUCUACUGUAAAUUUGUACUUCAGUGUUGCAGUAGCUGGCUGUGUGUCUCAGUACUUUCCCCUGAGGGAUACAGGAAGCAGUCUAUAUGUUUACUCACUUGUUAUGACAAACAGCAAGGAGUGUGCACAUGUCCAAAAGUGAUAAAAUGGGAUUUGGACCCACUUAUGCUCCACCUAGCUGGUUUUGAAUAUAUUUACCUGAGCAUCACAGAGGGUCCAGUAGACCCACACUACUCCAGGAUUUGUUUAGAAAAAAAAGUUUUUUGUUUUUGUUUUUAAUUUUCCCAGUAGAAGUAGCCCAAUUCAGUACAAUGGCACAUGAAAAACCAGAUUUGCAAGUUUUGGAGGAGGUCAAAAGUGAAUCAGAUUAUGAUGAACCAUUAUGGUAAAAUACAAGUUUUCAUGACAGAAGAAUGGUGUGGGUGGAUGAUGAUGAUGAUGAUGGUGGUGAUGAUGAUGAUGAUGACUUUGACACUGGUCAUGUGAGCCAGGGUUCCUGGGACAGUGAAAUAGAGCAAGAAUAGACUGAUACUGACACAGGAUGCAGACCUCCUUGAUUCAAGUGAUGAAGAAAAUAGCAGUGUGAGUACAUAUUUGACUAGUGGAAAUGUUGUGAAAUGGCCACAUAGCCAAAUGGAAUGAUCCAAUGUUAGCACUAGGUCUGAAAAUAUAGUGAAAGUCUUGGAAGGGGUGAAAUAUAUCGGACAGAAUGCCAGCACUGCCAUUCAGUGUUGGAAAUUGUAACAAACAAAAUGCUGUAAGAUGCUGUGAAAUACACAGAGGCCAAAAUGCAGGUAAAAUGUUCCAUGCGCACCAAUAGCCAUAUUCAAAAAUAUAUUUGUUAUUACACCUCACUAGCUGAAUUGAAAGCAUUUAUAGGUCUGCGGUACUUCGCAUAGAUUUCUCAUGGUGAUUGCAAGAAUGUAAAAGACUUAUGGAAAGCAAGAGGUCAAAAUAUGGCAUAAAAAUUAUUUAUGCUCUUGUAGAUGCCGAGACUUAUCAUGCUUUUAAUUUAGACAGUCAUCCUGGAACUCAGCCGUAGGUCCUUAUUGAUACAGCAACAAACAGAAUGAUGCUGUGAACAGACUUGUUGCUUUCAUCUCCCAAACUAAUCAGAAUGUGACAUUCAAUGAUUGGUUUACUGGUUUCCAAUUGAUGUGACAUUUGCUAACAGAGCACAAGUUGAUUGGCACAGGAACUGUACCCAGGAACAAAGGCAGAAAUUUCAAAUGAAAUGGUACCAUUUUAAAACUGCGAAUUGUAGAGUACAAUCUUUGAAUUUCAGAAAAAUAUAACAUUGACUUUGCGUAUGGCAAAGAAAAGCCAACUGGUACUGUUGAUGUCAAUAUUUCACCAUGCUGAAAAUAUUGAUAGGGUAGUUUCAACAAAACAGACGCCUGAGAUGGAAGCUUCUACUAACAAAACCAAAGGUGAAGUAGAUGUUGUUGAUGACUUAUGCAGCAACUAUGAUGUCACCUGAAACACAAAGCGUUGGCCAGUGGUUGUGUUUUACUCAAUCCUAAAUAUAUGUGGCAUAAAUAGUUUGAUAGUUUACAAAGCAAACAAUAAGUGCAAAAAAUCAUGGAGGAAUUUUCUUAGAGGACUGGGACUGGAGCUCAUAAGAGAUCAUUUACAGCAGAGGAAAAACAAAAUGUUUCUGCCCAGGGAACUAUGCAAAAAAUUGUGGAGCACACUGGUGAGAGGACAGGUGAACAGGCAGGCACAGCACCACAAAGACCUAUGACAACAGGAAAACAUAAUAAAUGUCAACUGUGCCCUGCAGGAAAGGACAGGAAAACAAACAUAUGUGCUAUCAGUGUAAGUGAUACCUGUGUAUGGAACAUGCAGUUGUCAUGUGUGAAGACUACCAUGGGUGUGAUAGUUGAAGCCAAGCUUAUUUCUGUGGUAGGCUUUUGUUUGUGUUUACACUGUAGUUCACAUAGGUAUUUUGGUUUGUUUUUUAAGGCAGAGUCUCGCUAUGUAGUGUAGGGUGACCUCAAAGUCAUAGCAAUCUUCCUGCUUCAGCCUCCUGAGUGCUGGGAUUACAGGAGUGCACCACCAUGUUCGGCUAGGUUUUUAUUUUCAUUUAAUUUAAUUUAAUUUUUUUUCCGGUACCAGAAAUCAAACUCACGACUUCACGCUUGCCAGGCAGGCACUGUCCCGCUGAGCUAAAUCCCCAGCUAGGUUUUUAUUUUUGAUGUUAUCUUUUAGGUUUUGUAAGCCAGUAAAUAGUUGAUGUAAAAAUGUUGAUGUCUAGUCUCGCACUCAUUGCAUAUUUAAUAUUCUAUUAUUUGACAUGUAAUUUCCCUGCUGCAUGCAUAUUAUGUAAUAUAAGGAAGCUCCUGACAAAACAGGAGGAGAAGAGAGGUGAUAAGACUGCUACAUAGGAAAGGAAAGCUAGGCACAUGUGCUGUCAGUACAAGUGAAACAUGUGCAUGGAAUAUGCAGUGGUCAUGUGUGAAGACUGCCUUGCAUAUGACAGCUGAAGCAAAGCUUAGUUUUGUGAUAGAGUUCUAUUUGUAUUUUUAUUUUAGUUUAUAUAGAAAUUUAUUUUUGUGAUUAUCUUU
ensembl:lincRNA